rnacentral:piRNA from 1 species
UACAUAGCAUAUGCUGUAUGGGAAAAAGAC